UACGUAGGGGGCGAGCGUUGUCCGGAUUCAUUGGGCGUAAAGCGCUUUAAGGCGGUUCGGUAAGUCGCGUGUGAAACCUCCAGGCUCAACCUGGAGACGCCACGCGAUACUGCUGUGACUAGAGUUCGGUAGGGGAUCACGGAAUUCCUGGUGUAGCGGUGAAAUGCGCAGAUAUCAGGAGGAACACCGGUGGCGAAGGCGGUGAUCUGGGCCGACACUGACGCUGUAGAGCGAAAGCGUGGGGAGCGAACAGG
rnacentral:rRNA from 1 species